rnacentral:lncRNA from 1 species
CAAGGUGAAAUAGAGACGUUGAGAGACUUUGUGGCUCGUUUCAAUACAGCCAUACUUGAGGUCAGGGACCUCAAUGAAGACAUAGCUAUAUCGACCAUGAAGAGGGGUCUAAGGAGAUCGAGAUUCACUUACUCUUUAGACAAAACUCUCCCUCAGACCUAUGCUGAAUUUCUAGAGCACGCGUACAAGUAUAUUCAUGUG